GGGAGCCCUCCUUCGUACCUGAGAGACGACGUCACGGCGCCACCUGACGCGCCGACCUUUGAACCCCCCUAUCUGCUGACGUCGAAAAGCAAACACGGGGCGGACGGGUUCGCCAAGUGCUCUCCCACGGCGUGUAGCGCGAAUCCCCGAAAGGACACAGGAGGAUUUUUCAAAAACAAAAGUCUGUCGACAGCACACCGCAGACUCAUGGCCUGAGGGAAGCGUUAGCGAUAACGGGAGUGAUAGCAGUGGUGUUAGCGGUAGCGAUAGCAGUACUGUUAGCGGUAGCAAUAGCAGUAGUGUUAGCGAUAGCGAUAGCAGUAGUGUUAGUGGUAGCAAUAGCAGUACUGUUAGUGGUAGCGAUAGCAGUACUGUUAGCGGUAGUGAUAGCAGUAGUGUUAGCGGUAGCGAUAGCAGUAGUGUUAGCGGUAGCGGUAGCGAUACUCGCACGGGGGGCGGCCCGGCAGGCUGAACGGUGCGCAUCACGCUCGCCUGAACGAAGGUGUAUCGGCUCAGAAGCUUUCACCAUGGCAACCACAACCAAAGGUCACGGAGAGAGCAGAAUGCGGAGAGAUCGUCAGGGCGAUGGACUGAUUAAUCCUCCGCCUCUGGUGAUUCGCCGAGCCCGUCGUCGUCUGGAUCAGAAUCGGGGGGCCAAUCGCAAUUAAUUACACUUUGGUUAUGACAUACUAGCUCGUUUCCAUCCAUCAAAAUGGCACCCGCCAUGUUUACAGUCAUGCUGCAUCCUCUCCACCAAAGGUAGCCCAUGUAAGGCUGGAGCAAGCCAUUAUAAAUCUGUAAGGUGUGCAUGUGACAAUGUUAUAGGUAUAGUUGCAUAAAGACAGCUUAGCUGUAUAGUAUUGCACUUUUGUUUAUAAUCUUCACUUCUGUUUACAGUACUAAUUGUUGGGUUUGUUCAUUUAACUUCACGCUUAUAAUUAUAAAUGGGCCUUCUUGGUGAUAUCAGACUUUCGUAUUUCUCAGCCGAACACUGGUGUCGUCCAAUUCUGUUAGUCACUCUGGAAACAGAGGCUGCCAAUUUACUGCAAUGCAAUGUAAUGUAAUGUAAUGCAAUGUAAUAGGAGAAUAAGGCUUCAUUAAACAAAAAAUAGGCAGAGCUUUUAUGAGUGAGUCACUGAAUUUUGCCGUGGACAGAAAAAUCUUUUGACUGGUUAAAAAAAUGGAGCAAUUGAGAGCAUAACGUAUAUUUAUUUAGCCUAUUUGUUAACGAGGACCACGUCAAAGACGGGGGCUGUACCAGUUAGCUGCAGAGCUAACACAUACCUGCAGUCUGUGGAAGACAUUCCUCAAACCCCUCUCCCAUCAUUAGAUACCCAAAUAGAUUGUCGGGUUUUUGAAAUUGUACAGAGCUGGGUGGCAAAAAAAACAAGAGAAUUUUAAGGACAGCUGAUUUUACGGGAGAAAGGUUUGUGUAACGGCUAUAGAAAGAAACAGUUUAGUUAAAUUGUAUUUUAAUAGAUAAUUUAAUAUUAAAGUCGCAUUUGCGGCAUACAUAGCGCUUUCGCUCUCAACAGAUUUGAAUUAUUUACACCAUACAAUUUUUCAUUUCUCGAAAACUAAGCGCAUUUGACACAUUUAUAUAUUUGAUUUUCCCAACAGAAUGCGUUUCAUAAUUUGUCUUUGCCCAUUUUCGAAGUGGAAAGUAUUAUUUUUUCCCUCAGAUUUACGGAAAGCGGAACAAUGUAGACGGGCAAGAGAGAGAGAGAAAAAGGCCGCGUACCGCCGUCUGAGCCUCCGGCAAAACCCGCUACAAGUUUCCGCGCUCACCCUCCGGAGACGCCGCGUGUGUCUGCCGCUCGGUUUCAUGUAAAACGCCUGUACGAAAAACCGUCAUGACAUGCAGUGUCAUGUCAGCGAGCUGUGUCAUGACAACGUGUCACGUCAGCUAACUUAUCACAGUGCGAGGCUCAGAAAGCGCUACCGCCGCGCAUCGCUGCCACGAGCGUCUGCUCCCGUUUUCAAAGACACUUCCCCAGUAAACAUCCAACGCUUUUUCAGAGCUUUGCGUUCUGCAAACACGCAUCAUUUAUUUUGAAAUGUCUUUAUUCUACUGUUUUUUUUUUUAAGAAAAAAAAGAAGAAGACGGCAGUGUAGAAGCACUCUCCCUGAAUUCCUAGCAGUUUAUAUGAGGUCCAUGUAAAACUGUGAUAGCAAUGCAUGAACUGCUUUUUGAAGGAAAAUGACUAAGCUUUUAAAAAAAAUGAAAUGUAUUAGCUUUGUAGGCCUUACAGAUUUCACAACAAAAAAAUAAGAACAUGAAUGAGACCUAAAUUUUGUUUCAUUAACUAAAGUGCCUCUUAAUAAAAGUAUUUCAUAAAUCUU